rnacentral:rRNA from 1 species
UACGUAGGGGGCGAGCGUUGUCCGGAUUUAUUGGGCGUAAAGAGCGUGUAGGCGGCCAGGUAGGUCUGCUGUGAAAACUCGAGGCUCAACCUCGAGACGUCGGCGGAAACCAUCUGGCUAGAGUCCGGAAGAGGAGAGUGGAAUUCCUGGUGUAGCGGUGAAAUGCGCAGAUAUCAGGAGGAACACCGGUGGCGAAGGCGGUUCUCUGGGCCUUACCUGACGCUGAGGAGCGAAAGCGUGGGGAGCGAACAGG